CCGGAAGUUGCCCCUCCUCCUCACCCUCUCAGCCCUGGGGAGAUGUGUGCAGUUGGUGUGAUCCCCAUUGCUGGGCUUCCUGAACCUUCCUUCUCCCAGAGACUUGCUGAAAGCAGCCUCCAGGUGCAAGUUCCCAGAAGAGAUUUUUCUGCUUUCUUUUGAGUUGGUGCUGUAUGCAGCAGAAGGAAACGUUGCGCGUGGAAAGGAGGAACAAACAGGUGGGAGUGACAAGAGCAGGAAGGAGCCAGACACAAGCAGCCCAGAGCUGUCCACCAAGGAGCCUCAAGUUACUUGGACCACGUUCAAAGGCCCGUGUGUUGAAAAUGGCUUCCGGGUUUCUGCAGUUGGUUAUUCUAACAUCAAGAAACCUUUCUCUAAAGACAGUAAUGAAGACAAGCAGCAGACUGUGAAAAGCACUGGGCUGGACCUGACCAGGCAUACAAAGUCAGGGCUUCCAAACGCCUUUGUGGGGGAAAUGAAGGUUUAUUCAUUGCGUUCAACUGUGCUGCAACAGGGGGGAAUAAUAUUUUUCACUUCCAGUAAAAAAUGGUUCUUAUACUUAAAAA